rnacentral:lncRNA from 1 species
GCUCUCCAUAGUAUUAGAUGUGACGGAAGAGUAGAAGGUUUCCCUGGCUACUUUCAUGUUUAUUGGUGAAAUGGCUCACUAGUAGCGAGUGAAAAAAUAUUUACUACCGACUCCCACCACUUGGGAAAUAUUUAUCGAUGCCUUCUAUGAGAACUUCUUCCCAGCUUAUGUAUAGGAUAAGAAGGAAGAGGCGUUUAUAGAACUUCGACAAGAAAAUCUGAUGGUUAGCUAGUAUAC